ensembl:lncRNA
CUGACCGCGCUCAGCAGCAGGUUGUCUAUGCAGCAGACGGAAGCUCCUACACCUCCGUCGAGUCGGCCGAACACACACUGGUGUACAUACACCCAGCCGACGGAACGCAGGUGAGUUCAUCUACACUGUGAAGAUGUGUGGCACGGCCAGUGCACAGGGUUAUAAUUCAUAAUUAUUGCUGUAAUUCAGAAGUGUGAUCGAUAGACAAAGCAGCUUGUGAAGGCACAAUUUUGAUAAGUUCACUUUCCAAUUGCUAUUAUGCUACUUAAUGUUAAUAUUAAUUAGUUAAUGUUAGUUAAUGCAUUAAAAUUUAAAUAGUGCAAACACUGAAAAUGUGAUUGUAUUCUGUAUUGCUACCAAAAGCAUGUGGGGAAAGACAUUAGCGUCUCAUUAAACGGCAAAUAUUAAUUGCAGAAAUUAACAUGUUCCAGACUAAAAAAAAAAAAAAACACAGUCACAACAUUCUUCACAGUCUUUUGUAUUAUGAUCGCUGAACAUGUAAUUGACCAGUUUCCUGCAAAGCUGUGCUAAUUUCAUUUUUCACUUACCUCACAUUGUGUUCUAUUUGUUCCUAAUUUCAACUCCAUAUUUAAUGUUUUAUUUAUAGUGCAAGCAGGUGAUGUGUAAUAAGCUGUACAAUCAGAUUAUAUAUUUUGUUAUCACCUUCAAGUGUGAAACAAGGUCAGUCACUUUGUUGGGUUUAUUUUGUGGUAAUUAUUGGCUGACUAAAUGAUAUUUUCAUAAGUUCUCCUUCUGAUAAAUAAUCGCAAACACACUGUAACUCAGGUUUACGGCGCUCUUUCAUUCCUUUUCAGGCGGUGUUUACAGAUCAGCCCCAAGUGGCCUACAUUCAGCAAGAUGGCACAACACAACAGGUGACUGUCUUGCUACCCAGCGGUCAGAACAUGAACACUGCAAAUCUGCACGUACUGAGUAAUGUAGCUGAUGGCCCACAGGCGAUCCUGGAACCUGUGACACAGGUGAACCUGCACUGCUAAACAUAUUCAGCAGGAUUUUUUGUCUUGAUUUGAAAUUAUGCACUGAAACCAUCAAUAUAGUGUUCCAGGGGGUGUUUAUCGCUUUAACCCUCAAGACAAAAAAACAACCCGCAGCAACAGUAUAAAAGUAGCCCAGUUCUGCAGGAAAACCACUGACUUAUUCUGCUUUAUGCUACAUUAGUGAUAUUACAAUACUUAUGUCUUCGCUUUUCUGAAAGAAAAACGGCAGUUUCUGUGAAAAAACAGGUUUGCAAAAACGCUGUAUUACAAAUCUAGUAAAAUACUGUAAUCAUCUGUUCACAAAAAUGUUGGAAAUUAUGCAAAUGUGAAAACACAGCAUAACUGGCACUGUGGCUCACAGUUCCCAAAUGCACAUUAAAUUCACACAUGCAGAC